UAUUGGACAAUGGGGGCAACCCUGAUCCAGCCAUGCCGCGUGUGUGAAGAAGGCCUUCGGGUUGUAAAGCACUUUCAGUGGGGAGGAAGGCCUGUUGGCUAAUACCCAUCAGGAUUGACGUUACCCACAGAAGAAGCACCGGCAAACUCCGUGCCAGCAGCCACGGUAAUACGGAGGGUGCGAGCGUUAAUCGGAAUUACUGGGCGUAAAGCGCACGUAGGCGGCCUGUUAAGCUGGAUGUGAAAGCCCCGGGCUCAACCUGGGAAUGGCUUCCAGAACUGGCAGGCUAGAGUACGGUAGAGGUGAGUGGAAUUUCCUGUGUAGCGGUGAAAUGCGUAGAUAUAGGAAGGAACACCAGUGGCGAAGGCGGCUCACUGGACUGGUACUGACGCUGAGGUGCGAAAGCGUGGGGAGCAAACAGG
rnacentral:rRNA from 1 species